rnacentral:rRNA from 1 species
UACGUAGGGAGCAAGCGUUGUUCGGAUUUACUGGGCGUAAAGGGCGCGUAGGCGGCAGAUCAAGUCAGCUGUGAAAUCUCCGAGCUUAACUCGGAACUGUCAGCUGAUACUGUUUUGCUAGAGUGCGGAAGGGGCAAUCGGAAUUCUUGGUGUAGCGGUGAAAUGCGUAGAUAUCAAGAGGAACACCUGAGGUGAAGACGGGUUGCUGGGCCGACACUGACGCUGAGUGCGCGAAAGCUAGGGGAGCAAACGGG